AUCUAUUCAGAUAUUAUUUCCCAUUGUUUAACUAAGGAAUAUGAUUUGGGUGGACCAGCUUCUCGUAAAUUCGACGUGGAGGCCUGGACUGGAUUGGGUCGUUGUUGCGAGAUUUCAGACGCCUCUAAUUGCACGGACUAUCGAGAAUUACCAGCUAGAAGAUCGCUCCAUUGUUGUACCUAUUCAGAUAAUUGCCCCUAAAAUAUAAACAGGCUUGAGUUUAGAAAUUAGAACUAACUGCAUUUUCUUUUCAUGAAAUACCGAUAGGAAUUUGGUGCAAUUUGGGCUAUCAGCUUCCAAAUUUUGUAGUCGUUUCAUUUUCGAUUUUGACUUUUAUAGUAAACCACAAAAAAUUGAACUAAUUUAAUUCAA